UACAGGAAUCCACUUACCCCUCUCUUUCCCACGCUCCUGCUCACUGCGUCGGCGUCUCGACGAACAAUAGCUAAUGACGGUUGCCAAGCGAUGCCGGGAUCCUCAGCCCGGAUCCAAGUAUAAAAUUGGUGAUGUAUUACUUCGCCACUUCGUCGCAUUCCUUUCCGAUUUCCAACCGUAUAGAGUCAAUCCACCGUUGAAACAGCAAAUGAUGAAUAGGAGUCACGAGAAACCAUGAGUGUCAUAUGAAAGCGUGCUAUAAUCGGGUCAUGUACUGCGUAAAGCAAGAAUUGCACCGUCUGAUUACUUUGCUCUCAUUGGUUAUCCCUUAUGUACGUCAUGAUUGAUUGCCUCCGCAUUUACCCCAUUUUAUCGGUUGGUGUGCUCAUCUUCUUAGAGUUUGUCUAUACUUCUUCGCCGUUGCCUAGUUCCCGAUUUCACUGCUAUGUCUGUCCGCCAUUUUUGCGAGUAGAUUCCGAGCUUCGUUUUUCGAGUCCUGUUCUUUUCUUUUGCGUGAUUUUCAUCGUUUUAUUGAAAGUUUCAAGUGUGCAUCUGUCUUCCUGCACAUCCAGCAACAUCCACGAUGGUUCGUAAAGUAGCGCCAAGAAAAAGAAAAAACUUCUAAAGCGAGAAAAAUACUCCGCAGCGCAAGGUGCUUAAACUUCAACAUGACGAAGCAGAAAACCCUUUAAACAAGAUACUGAUAUUGACGAUGUCAUCUCCGAAGUUGAUGAACAAGAUAACAAUAAGAAGAGUACCUGGCAUUUUAACGAUGAGUCUGCAGUAGACGUAAACAUGCCGAUCACACAAAUUAACACAGACAAAAAUCAAAAGCCUAUAAUUGGUAAAGUAGUCUCGCUUACCAGUCUUGCUUCCUAUAAAAGCCCCCAGAAAAAUGGACUAAUAAUUAAGUCCAUCCUUCAAGAUAUGUCUGGCCAAAUGGGCCUGUUGCAAACUUUUGCUAGAGCAAAAUUAAGAGUUGUUUCUUACAGAUAAUGCCUCCAAAAUCACGAUAAGC